rnacentral:rRNA from 1 species
UAAUAAAAUAUAUAUUAUACAUAGGUAUAAAUGAUAAUAAAUAAAAAGGCAUUAUAUGAUAUAGUAUAAAUGCAUGGAAAUUUAAUAUUUUAUAUUAUAAUAUUAUAUAAAAUGGUGAUAAGGCGUUUAAUAAAUAAUAAACGUUAUAUUAUUAUAUUGAAAAAUAUAUAAUAACCAGAGAAGGGUAAAUAUAUAAAUAAAGAUAAUAUAACGAUAUUAUUAUAAUUAUAUCAAAUUAAAGAUAAAUGAUAAUAGGAAAUUAUCUAAAAGAUAAUAAGACGCAAUUAUUAUAUUAAUAAUAAUUCUAUAUAAUAGAACACCAGCAAAGUAAUCUUAGCUUUACAAUUAUUUAUAAUUGGCUAGAUAAUCAUAUAUAUAUAGGGAAUAAAUCUGGUACCAGCAUUCGCGGCCAAACCAAUUCUAUAGUCUUUUUUAAUAUAUUAGGUUUAAUAGUAUUAUUAUAAAUAGACAUAAUAAUAUAUGACGUAAUAUUAAUAUAUAAUAUAAUAGUAAAAUAUAAUAUAUAAUAUAUAGAGAUAUUACGAAUUAUAUUAUAAUAUAUAUACUAAAGUAAAGGGAGCGACAUAGGUUAGAUACUAUUUAGUUCUUUACUAUAAAUAAUUUAUUCUACUUUAAACAAUUUUAUAAA